UACGAAGGUUGCAAGCGUUGUUCGGAAUCACUGGGCUUAAAGCGCAUGUAGGCGGAUAAGUAAGCGUUUUGUGAAAUCCCCCGGCUUAACCUGGGAACUGCAUUCGAGACUGCAUUGCUCGAGUAUGGGAGAGGGAAGUGGAAUUUCCGGUGUAGCGGUGAAAUGCGUAGAUAUCGGAAGGAACAUCAGUGGCGAAAGCGGCUCACUGGACCAUAACUGACGCUGAUGCACGAAAGCUAGGGGAGCAAACAGG
rnacentral:rRNA from 1 species